rnacentral:rRNA from 1 species
CCCUUAGAUGUUCUGGGCCGCACGCGCGUUACACUGAUGCAUUCAACGAGUCUAAAACCUGCUCUGAUAGGGGUGGGUAAUCUUUUGAAUGUGCAUCGUGAUUGGGAUAGAUGAUUGCAAUUUUUCAUCUUCAACGAGGAAUGCCUAGUAAACGCAAGUCAUCAGCUUGCAUUGAUUACGUCCCUGCCCUUUGUACACACCGCCCGUCGCUCCUACCGAUUGAAUGAUCCGAUGAAUAUCAUGGAUUGAGGAUGCAAGUAGGUUAGCCUAUCUUCAUCUUCGAGAAGUGAAGUAAAUCUUAUCAUUUAGAGGAAGGAGAAGUCGUAACA